rnacentral:rRNA from 1 species
GACGAACGCUGGUGGCGUGCUUAACACAUGCAAGUCGAACGGGAUUUAGUAAACAGACGCCUCGGUGGAAGAUUACUAAUGAGAGUGGCGAACGGGUGAGUAACGCGUGAGCAACCUGCCUAUGACAGUGGGAUAGCCUCGGGAAACCGGGAUUAAUACCGCAUCAAAUCGUAGAAACACAUGUUUUAACGGUCAAAGAUUUAUCGGUCAUAGAUGGGCUCGCGUCUGAUUAGCUAGUUGGUGAGAUAACAGCCCACCAAGGCGACGAUCAGUAGCCGGUCUGGGAGGAUGACCCGCCACAUUGGAACUGAGGCACGGUCCAAACUCCUACGGGAGGCAGCAGUGGGGAAUAGUGCACAAGGGGGGAAACCCUGAUGCAGCGACGCCGCGUGAACGAAGAAGGGAUUCGUAUCGUAAAGUUCUGUCCUAUGGGAAGAUAAUGACAGUACCAUAGAAGAAAGCACCGGCUAAAUACGUG